GACGAACGCUGGCGGCGUGCUUAACACAUGCAAGUCGAGCGGUAAGGCCCUUUCGGGGGUACACGAGCGGCGAACGGGUGAGUAACACGUGGGUGACCUGCCCUCAGCUCUGGGAUAAGCCUGGGAAACUGGGUCUAAUACUGGAUAUGACUCCACGGUGCAUGUCGUGGGGUGGAAAGCCUUGUGCGGCUGAGGAUGGGCCCGCGGCCUAUCAGCUUGUUGGGGGGGUGAU
rnacentral:rRNA from 1 species